rnacentral:rRNA from 1 species
CUUCCGGUUGAUCCUGCCGGCGGGCACCGCUACUGGAGUUCGCUUAAGCCAUGCGAGUCGAGAGGGUUUAGACCCUCGGCGCACUGCUCAGUAACACGCGGACAACCUGUCCUCAAGAAGGGGAUAAUCCCGGGAAACUGGGAAUAAUACCCUAUAGCUGCUCUAUGAUGGAAAGCUGGGGCGGCGAAAGCUCCGGCACUUGAGGGUGGGUCUGCGGCCUAUCAGGUAGUAGGGGGUGUCACGGACCCCCUAGCCUACGACGGGUACGGGCAUUGGGAGAUGUCGCCCGGAGAUGGGUUCUGAGACACGAACCCAGGUCCUACGGGGCGCAGCAGGCGCGAAACCUCCACAAUGUGGGAAACCACGAUGGGGGAACUCCAAGUGGAUGCACUUUUUGUGCCUCCUGUUCUCGAGUCUAAAAAACUCGAGAAGUAAGGGCCGGGUAAGACGGGUGCCAGCCGCCGCGGUAAUACCCGCGGCCCGAGUGGUGCUCAUUAUUAUUGAGCCUAAAGCGUCCGUAGCUGGCCGGGUAAAUCCCUGGGGAAAUCGGGCGACUCAAUCGACCGAAGUCCAGGGACACUACUUGGCUUGGGAUCGGGAGAGGGCGAUAGUACUCCCUGGGUAGGGGUAAAAUCCUGUAAUCCGGGGGGGACUACCAGUGGCGAAGGCGAUCGCCUAGAACGAAUCCGACAGUGAGGGACGAAGCCCUAGGGCGCAAACGGGAUUAGAUACCCCGGUAGUCUAGGGUGUAAACGCUGCAGACUUGGUGUUGGGGAUCCUGCGUGGAUACCCAGUGCCGGAGCGAAGGUGUUAAGUCUGCCGCUUGGGGAGUACGCUCGCAAGAGCGAAACUUAAAGGAAUUGGCGGGGGAGCACCGCAACGGGAGUAGCGUGCGGUUCAAUUGGAUUCAACGCCGGA